GGUGAAGAAGAGCAAGGCCGAGAAGGACCCCAACACGCCCAAGCGGCCCCCGAGCGCCUUCUUCGUCUUCAUGGAGGGCUUCAGGAAGGACUUCAAGGAGAAGAACCCCAACAACAAGCAGGUCUCCGUGGCAAGCCCCGUUUCCCCCACCAGCAACUCCGUCUCGCGUGCCGGCCACGGGUCACUGCCGCCGCCUCCUUGGGCGGAGCAGAGCCGAGGAAGGACCACGGAGGAGCAGCCCCAGGGGGCGUCGAUGCAGGGCUCCUCCGCCAGGAGUCGACGUGUUGCCUCGGGAGGAUUAGUAGCGCCGAUGGGGUCGCCUCGCGAAGGGGCCAGUUCGAGGACUGCGGCUGUGGUCGUCGCCGCGCCGCUGCGCAAGCUAUUUCUCGGCCGUUGGUACCGCCACUUCAGCCUCCACCUUGGGCGGUAGUUCGUGGCCGUCGUUCGCUGCAGAUCCCGUGGAGGCGUUCUGCCGCCUCUCCAUGGAGUCUCAACUCGGCGGUGGGAAGGGCAUGGACCGGCUUGUUACCGGACAGAGCUCCGCCAGUGAGGUGUUCCUCUUCCGGUAGAAGGCGGCGCUCUCCUCCGCCUCCGCCUCCUCCUUGAGCUGCGCCGCCGCCGGACGGGAGACGACCAAGGAUGUCGCCCACCUCACGUUGUUCCUUGUUCUCUUGCACCCUUCUACCUGGACAACCUCGCUGUUCUGGCUGACGAGAUUGGGGGCUUGCUGGAUACAAGCGCGCACGCACUGCCCUCGGGGCUACUGGUGCAGGCGUUGAUACUGCUUGUCAACUAGAAGACCUACGCAGACACUGUUGGUGCGUCCAAAUGGCAUACGCUAUCGCAGAGAAGGAUGCCGUAAAGGCUCCAAAACCAGCAGAUGGUGAAGAUGCAUAUGUGAAGAAGCUCUUCCUUAAGGGAACGGCAUAUUAUCUUUAUGUCCACAGUCUGUUUAUUCUAGAUCUGAUGGUAGGGUGCUGACAUUGGAGGAACAAGCAAGCGAAUUGGGAACAAAUGAGGAAGUCAGACAAGUAAGAUGGAAGCCAGUUAGAUGAACCAUGUUAGAUGAACCUUGUUGUGUAUUUUAUCUAAUGGUUUCAAACCA